UCCUGACACAGGGAGGUAGUGACAAUAAAUAACAAUGCCGGGCUUUUUCGAGUCUGGCAAUUGGAAUGAGAACAAUUUAAAUCCCUUAACGAGGAUCAAUUGGAGGGCAAGUCUGGUGCCAGCAGCCGCGGUAAUUCCAGCUCCAAUAGCGUAUAUUAAAGUUGUUGCAGUUAAAAAGCUCGUAGUUGGAUUUCUGGCAGGAGCGACCGGUCCGCCGCAAGGUGUGCACUAGGUUGUCUCCAGUCAUCUUUGUGGGAACUGCUCUGGCAUUAGUUUGUCGGGGUUAGGGAACACAUCGUUUACUGUGAAAAAAUUAGAGUGUUUAAAGCAGGCUUAUGCCGUUGAAUACAUUAGCAUGGAAUAAUAAGAUAGGACUUUGGUGGUCUAUUUUGUUGGUUUGCACACCAAGGUAAUGAUUAAUAGGGAUAGUUGGGGGUAUUCGUAUUUAAUUGUCAGAAGUGAAAUUCUUGGAUUUAUGAAAGACGAACUACUGCCAAAGCAUUUACCAAAGAUGUUUUCAUUAAUCAAGAACGAAAGUUAGGGGAUCGAAGAU
rnacentral:rRNA from 1 species